CAGCGUAUGUAACAUUUCUAGAAAUUUGAUUUCCCAUCAAUGAGUUUUGGCAUCAGAAAUUAAUCAACAAAAAGCUGUAUAAGCAAAAAUGUUACUAGAAGACAACUGCAAGGAUUGAGAGGGAUUUAUAUGAACAAGAACAAGAAGAGGCAGUGAUCAAAGCUACUGGAGAUGUGAAUAAAGGUUAAGACUUUCUUGUAGACAUUCAUAAGCUGUAGAUAACCAUUUAGCCCCACCAACAAAUAUACUUUGCAAUUCCAGUCUAACCUGACCCUACAAUAACCACAUAUAUAAAAUUAAAAUUUGAAAUUGUGUCCCCAAAGAAUUGUUGUGACCUUGUGCCGCAAAUAAUUGUGAUACCGUAUGGUGUACAUUCUCCAAAAGUUAAACGAACUUCUACAUCGAUGCAGACAAGACAAGACCAGAGAACAAAAACAGGGCAAGAAUAGUACAAGUAAAAGAGAAAAUCACUUUAAAUACAAUGCACAGUCUUUGAAACUGAUCCUAAUAGCAACAGGGUCUUUGAUUCCAGAAAAUAGCUCCACCCCAUCAAUCCAUCACUUAACUAGAACUCAUCAGCUCAAACCUUCACCCAGUACAACCAAAUGACAUGCUACUGUGCUGACCUAUCUAGCCAAUGGCUUGUGCUUAAGAUUUAAAGUCCAGGCACCCUUGCCCUUCUUUCCACCUUCACUCAUCAGGCGCAUGCCUGUGUCAUGCUUUAGUUGUUACUCUUUCUCUAAAUACACCUGGUUGGGUAAUUCCCAUUAACUGAUCAUAACAAUGAGAUGCUAUUAUUUUGUUAAACCUCACCUCCCUUAUUUUAAAACAAACACCAUGUCAAACACUCUCUGUACUUCAAAAGCAAUUAGGUCUUGAAAGCACAAGAGCGACUGGUCAAUGUUCAAUCACAAUCAUGUGGAAUAAUAAUAGAGCUGUGCAGGGAAUACAGUCCACAGCAAACAAUGGUCGACUCAGAAAUGCUGUCCAAGCAUUACAAAAAGAACUCCAUGGGGAAAACAGCUUAUUGAAGGAUGAAAACUAAAACCUAUAUUUUACCAUGCUUAAGGUUGAAAUGUUUUUGUGAGCAAGUUAGAUGAAGACAUUAAUACAAGGAAAUAAUGAAUUCAAGCUGAUGAGACUAAACAGCAUUAGACAAAUUGGAGAUGUACGUGGAUUGCAAACAAACCUUGGAAGAUGCUCUUCUAAGUUCCAACAUCUUUCAAAAAAUAUAGCACAUGUUUCCUUAACACGGGAAUAAUCAGAAGAACAAAUUAUAUCUAGUUUUCUAUUUACCUUCCUGGAUAGCAGGUAUGACAAUAAAGCACAAACAGAACAUUCACGAUUGAUUACAACAACAGGAUAGCUGAUAACAUAAUACAACCAGCAGUUGGUAAUAACCAAACAUCAUGAUCUAAAAUUGAAACAGUUAAACACCAUGAAUCUUU
rnacentral:lncRNA from 1 species